UGCAGAGGUCUCGAGCGUUGUUCGGAUUCAUUGGGCGUAAAGGGUGCGUAGGUGGCGCUGUAAGUCGGGUGUGAAAUCCUGAGGCUUAACCUCGGAACUGCAUUCGAUACUGCGGUGCUUGAGGACUGGAGAGGAGACUGGAAUUCAUGGUGUAGCAGUGAAAUGCGUAGAGAUCAUGAGGAAGACCAGUGGCGAAGGCGGGUCUCUGGACAGUUCCUGACACUGAGGCACGAAGGCCAGGGGAGCAAACGGG
rnacentral:rRNA from 1 species